rnacentral:rRNA from 1 species
GGCUAAUAUUAGAUAGAUAAAAGAUACUGGAAUGUUCUUUUAUCCAAAGCUUUUGCACCUGAGGAUGGGCCUGCGUCCGAUUAGGUUGUUGGUGGGGUAAUGGCCCACCAAGCCUAUGAUCGGUACGGGCAGUGGGAGCUGAAGCCCGGAGUUGGGGACUGAGACAAGGCCCCAGGCCCUACGGGGCGCAGCAGGCGCGAAACCUCUGCAAUGCGGGAAACCGUGACAGGGGAAUUCCAAGUGCUCAUGCAUUGCAUGGGCUGUUCUUUGGUCUAAGUAACCAGAGGAGUAAGGGCUGGGCAAGACCGGUGCCAGCCGCCGCGGUAAUACCGGCAGCUCAAGUGGUAGCCGCGAUUAUUGGGCCUAAAGCGUUCGUAGCCGGAUAAGUAAGUCUUUGGUUAAAUCCUGCGACUUAACCGUGGGAAAUCUAGAGAUACUGCUUGUCUUGAGACCGGGAGAGGUUGGAGGUACUUUUAGGGUAGGGGUGAAAUCCUGUAAUCCUAAGGGGACCACCUGUGGCGAAGGCGUCCAACUGGAACGGGUCUGACGGUGAGGGACGAAACCUAGGGGAGCGAGCCGGAUUAGAUACCCGGGUAGUCCUAGGCGUAAAUGAUGCGAGUUAAGUGUGGGGGCAUCUACGAGAUGGCCCUGUGCUGUAGGGUAGCCGUUAAACUCGCCGCCUGGGGAGUACGGUCGCAAGGCUGAAACUUAAAGGAAUUGGCGGGGGAGCACCACAAGAGGUGGAGGCUGCGGU